rnacentral:rRNA from 1 species
UGGGGAAUCUUGGACAAUGGGCGCAAGCCUGAUCCAGCCAUGCCGCGUGAGUGAUGAAGGCCUUAGGGUUGUAAAGCUCUUUUUGCCGGGGACGAUAAUGACGGUACCCGGAGAAUAAGUCCCGGCUAACUUCGUGCCAGCAGCCGCGGUAAUACGAAGGGGACUAGCGUUGUUCGGAAUCACUGGGCGUAAAGCGCACGUAGGCGGAUUUGUAAGUCAGGGGUGAAAUCCCGGGGCUCAACCUCGGAACUGCCUUUGAUACUGCGGAUCUCGAGUCCGAUAGAGGUGAGUGGAAUUCCUAGUGUAGAGGUGAAAUUCGUAGAUAUUAGGAAGAACACCGGUGGCGAAGGCGGCCCACUGGAUCGGUACUGACGCUGAGGUGCGAAAGCGUGGGGAGCAAACAGGAUUAGAUACCCGGGUAGUCCCUGAGCGGGCUGGCAAGGCGCAU